rnacentral:rRNA from 1 species
CCUGGUAGUCCACGCUGUAAACGAUGUCGACUUGGAGGUUGUGCCCUUGAGGCGUGGCUUCCGGAGCUAACGCGUUAAGUCGACCGCCUGGGGAGUACGGCCGCAAGGUUAAAACUCAAAUGAAUUGACGGGGGCCCGCACAAGCGGUGGAGCAUGUGGUUUAAUUCGAUGCAACGCGAAGAACCUUACCUACUCUUGACAUCCACGGAAUUCGCCAGAGAUGGCUUAGUGCCUUCGGGAACCGUGAGACAGGUGCUGCAUGGCUGUCGUCAGCUCGUGUUGUGAAAUGUUGGGUUAAGUCCCGCAACGAGCGCAACCCUUAUCCUUUGUUGCCAGCACGUAAUGGUGGGAACUCAAAGGAGACUGCCGGUGAUAAACCGGAGGAAGGUGGGGAUGACGUCAAGUCAUCAUGGCCCUUACGAGUAGGGCUACACACGUGCUACAAUGGCAUAUACAAAGAGAAGCGAACUCGCGAGAGCAAGCGGACCUCAUAAAGUAUGUCGUAGUCCGGAUUGGAGUCUGCAACUCGACUCCAUGAAGUCGGAAUCGCUAGUAAUCGUAGAUCAGAAUGCUACGGUGAAUACGUUCCCGGGCCUUGUACACACCGCCCGUCACACCAUGGGAGUGGGUUGCAAAAGAAGUAGGUAGCUUAAC